rnacentral:rRNA from 1 species
GGGUUGUGAGGUUAAGCGACUAAGCGUACACGGUGGAUGCCCUGGCAGUCAGAGGCGAUGAAGGACGUGCUAAUCUGCGAAAAGCGUCGGUAAGGUGAUAUGAACCGUUAUAACCGGCGAUGUCCGAAUGGGGAAACCCAGUGCAAUUCGUUGCACUAUCGUUAACUGAAUACAUAGGUUAACGAGGCGAACCGGGGGAACUGAAACAUCUAAGUACCCCGAGGAAAAGAAAUCAACCGAGAUUCCCCCAGUAGCGGCGAGCGAACGGGGAGCAGCCCAGAGUCUGAAUCAGCUUGUGUGUUAGUGGAACGGUCUGGAAAGUCCGACGGUACAGGGUGAUAGUCCCGUACACCAAAAUGCACAGGCUGUGAACUCGAAGAGUAGGGCGGGACACGUGGUAUCCUGUCUGAAUAUGGGGGGACCAUCCUCCAAGGCUAAAUACUCCUGACUGACCGAUAGUGAACCAGUACCGUGAGGGAAAGGCGAAAAGAACCCCGGCGAGGGGAGUGAAAAGAACCUGAAACCGUGUACGUACAAGCAGUGGGAGCACCUUCGGGUGUGACUGCGUACCUUUUGUAUAAUGGGUCAGCGACUUAUAUUCUGUAGCAAGGUUAACCGUAUAGGGAGCCGCAGGGAAACCGAGUCUUAACUGGGCGUUAAGUUGCAGGGUAUAGACCCGAAACCCGGUGAUCUAGCCAUGGGCAGGUUGAAGGUUGGGUAACACUAACUGGAGGACCGAACCGACUAAUGUUGAAAAAUUAGCGGAUGACUUGUGGCUGGGGGUGAAAGGCCAAUCAAACCGGGAGAUAGCUGGUUCUCCCCGAAAGCUAUUUAGGUAGCGCCUCGUGAACUCAUCUUCGGGGUAGAGCACUGUUUCGGCUAGGGGGUCAUCCCGACUUACCAACCCGAUGCAAACUACGAAUACCGAAGAAUGUUAUCACGGGAGACACACGGCGGGUGCUAACGUCCGUCGUGAAGAGGGAAACAACCCAGACCGCCAGCUAAGGUCCCAAAGUCAUGGUUAAGUGGGAAACGAUGUGGGAAGGCACAGACAGCCAGGAUGUUGGCUUAGAAGCAGCCAUCAUUUAAAGAAAGCGUAAUAGCUCACUGGUCGAGUCGGCCUGCGCGGAAGAUGUAACGGGGCUAAACCAUGCACCGAAGCUGCGGCAGCGACACUAUGUGUUGUUGGGUAGGGGAGCGUUCUGUAAGCCUGCGAAGGUGUGCUGUGAGGCAUGCUGGAGGUAUCAGAGUGCGAAUGCUGACAUAAGUAACGAUAAAGCGGGUGAAAAGCCCGCUCGCCGGAAGACCAAGGGUUCCUGUCCAACGUUAAUCGGGGCAGGGUGAGACGACCCUAAGGCGAGGCCGAAAGGCGUAGUCGAUGGGAAACAGGUUAAUAUUCCUGUACUUGGUGUUACUGCGAAGGGGGGACGGAGAAGGCUAUGUUAGCCGGGCGACGGUUGUCCCGGUUUAAGCAUGUAGGCUGAUUGUCCAGGCAAAUCCGGAUAAUCAAGGCUGAGGUGUGAUGACGAGGCACUACGGUGCUGAAGUAACAAAUGCCCUGCUUCCAGGAAAAGCCUCUAAGCAUCAGGUAACAUCAAAUCGUACCCCAAACCGACACAGGUGGUCAGGUAGAGAAUACCAAGGCGCUUGAGAGAACUCGGGUGAAGGAACUAGGCAAAAUGGUGCCGUAACUUCGGGAGAAGGCACGCUGGUGUGUAGGUGAAGUCCCUGCGGAUGGAGCUGAGACCAGUCGAAGAUACCAGCUGGCUGCAACUGUUUAUUAAAAACACAGCACUGUGCAAACACGAAAGUGGACGUAUACGGUGUGACGCCUGCCCGGUGCCGGAAGGUUAAUUGAUGGGGUUAUCCGUAAGGAGAAGCUCUUGAUCGAAGCCCCGGUAAACGGCGGCCGUAACUAUAACGGUCCUAAGGUAGCGAAAUUCCUUGUCGGGUAAGUUCCGACCUGCACGAAUGGCGUAAUGAUGGCCAGGCUGUCUCCACCCGAGACUCAGUGAAAUUGAACUCGCUGUGAAGAUGCAGUGUACCCGCGGCAAGACGGAAAGACCCCGUGAACCUUUACUAUAGCUUGACACUGAACAUUGAGCCUUGAUGUGUAGGAUAGGUGGGAGGCUUUGAAGCGUGGACGCCAGUCUGCGUGGAGCCAACCUUGAAAUACCACCCUUUAAUGUUUGAUGUUCUAACGUUGGCCCCUGACCGGGGUUGCGGACAGUGUCUGGUGGGUAGUUUGACUGGGGCGGUCUCCUCCCAAAGCGUAACGGAGGAGCACGAAGGUUAGCUAAUCCUGGUCGGACAUCAGGAGGUUAGUGCAAUGGCAUAAGCUAGCUUGACUGCGAGCGUGACGGCGCGAGCAGGUGCGAAAGCAGGUCAUAGUGAUCCGGUGGUUCUGAAUGGAAGGGCCAUCGCUCAACGGAUAAAAGGUACUCCGGGGAUAACAGGCUGAUACCGCCCAAGAGUUCAUAUCGACGGCGGUGUUUGGCACCUCGAUGUCGGCUCAUCACAUCCUGGGGCUGAAGUAGGUCCCAAGGGUAUGGCUGUUCGCCAUUUAAAGUGGUACGCGAGCUGGGUUUAGAACGUCGUGAGACAGUUCGGUCCCUAUCUGCCGUGGGCGCUGGAGAAUUGAGGGGGGCUGCUCCUAGUACGAGAGGACCGGAGUGGACGCAUCACUGGUGUUCGGGUUGUCAUGCCAAUGGCACUGCCCGGUAGCUAAAUGCGGAAGAGAUAAGUGCUGAAAGCAUCUAAGCACGAAACUUGCCCCGAGAUGAGUUCUCCCUGAGACUUUAAGUCUCCUGAAGGAACGUUAAAGACGAUGACGUUGAUAGGCCGGGUGUGUAAGCGCAGCGAUGCGUUGAGCUAACCGGUACUAAUGAACCGUGAGGCUUAACCUUACAACGCCGAAG